AGGACGAACGCUGGCGGCGUGCUUAACACAUGCAAGUCGAGCGGUAAGGCUCCUUCGGGAGUACACGAGCGGCGAACGGGUGAGUAACACGUGAGCAAUCUGCCCUUCACACGGGGAUAACUCCGGGAAACCGGUGCUAAUACCCGAUACGACCACCUCAGGCAUCUGAUGGUGGUGGAAAGUUCCGGCGGUGAAGGAUGAGCUCGCGGCCUAUCAGCUUGUUGGUGGGGUAAAGGCCUACCAAGGCAACGACGGGUAGCCGGCCUGAGAGGGUGACCGGCCACACUGGGACUGAGACACGGCCCAGACUCCUACGGGAGGCAGCAGUGGGGAAUAUUGGACAAUGGGCGAAAGCCUGAUCCAGCAACGCCGCGUGAGGGAUGACGGCCUUCGGGUUGUAAACCUCUUUCAGUAGGACGAAGCGCAAGUGACGGUACCUACAGAAGAAGCACCGGCCAACUACGUGCCAGCAGCCGC
rnacentral:rRNA from 1 species